rnacentral:rRNA from 1 species
GAUCCUGGCUCAGGACGAACGCUGGCGGCGCGCCUAACACAUGCAAGUCGAACGGAGAUAAUAGGGAGCUUGCUCCCUGUUAUCUGAGUGGCGGACGGGUGAGUAACGCGUGAGUAACCUGCCUUAAAGAGUGGGGAUAACGUCUGGAAACGGACGCUAAUACCGCAUGACAUAUCACUGCGGCAUCGCAGUGAUAUCAAAGGAGGAAUCCGUCUUUAAGAUGGACUCGCGUCC